rnacentral:tRNA from 1 species
GCGUUGAUGGUGUAAUGGUUAGCAUUGUUGCCUUCCAAGCAAUAGAUCUGGGUUCGAUUCCCGGUCAACGCA